AGGGGCGGUUGGCCCAGAGUGGACACCAUGUGAGUCCCAUGCAAACAUCCGCGGCCGGCUGACUCUUGCUUCCGGGUUUGCGUUCCAGCAGCUGGAACACAACACAGAAGCUAUUAUCUGCUCCAGGCUCCAGCUAGCUGCCACUUCCGGGUGCCGUUAGACGGGAGCAGUCAGUGUCUGCAGCUGCAGGGCUCGUGUUAGUGGAAACAUGUGACAUGCCGUUGUGGCCGGACAGAGCUGCCAGGGUGGUCAGAAGUGAAGCCAUACCUCAGAGGCGUCAGAGCGUCAAAGGAUAAUUCGGGAUAGAGCCCGGCGCCACGGGUUUACAAUUGUACCGGGGACCAGCACCACAACCAUCCCUCCACCGCCGGCAUUCGCCGACCCGCCUCCUCUCGGUACCAGCCAAGUUGAAGGGCAGGUCCCAUAGUGGUAAGGGCCGGACAACCUGACUAGUGAGCAACUCCGGUGAUUGGUGCUCAUUUUAUGGGCGGUGGUGAACCGCAUUUUUUCUUACAUUUGUCAUUGUAUUUUUUUUUCUUUCU